AGUAAUAAAGCGUCUGAUUGUACUAUGUAGUUAAAGAUAGUCAUAAUAGUCUCAUUGUCUUGUCUUCCCACUCCUUGCUGUGACAUCAGCCCAUCCCAGACCAUCACAUCCUGCUCAUGGCUGUGUCUUUGUUGAUAAAUAGUGAGUCAUUAUAUGCUCUGCUCUAUGACUCGUACAGCUGUAUUGCCCAAUUUUCCUCUCUCCAGAAUGAAAUCCCCUUUAGUAUGCCUUUAAAACAGCCAAGUUUAUCUUGUGACAAAUGUGCACUUCAGCAGAAGUAGGAAUGAAUGAAAACUCCACCACCACUAUGCACUGAUGGCACAAUCUACCACAUGCUGAAUGCAUCAUUUCCAUGCCUUGUCCCUGCAGGACACAUUUGACCUGUAGAGCCCUGCUGCCACCCAGGACUAAUGAGCAGCUCAGUAUGCCCACCUUGUACAGAGGAGUUGAGGGGAAAGAUCCAAAGGCGAAACAGGUCGUCAGUGAGGCAAGAAUACACCGUUG